AACCAGGCCCUUUUAGGGUUAAGAAAUGAUGAUCCUAUACCAUCGGCUCCCCUAAUUUCUUGUUUGUUUAUGAUUUGCGUAGUUAUUCUUAUGAAGAAUCGAGAUGGCGUAAAGAAAUUACCCAUUAAAGAAAGGAAAAAAAAUGCUAGUGACAUCAAGAAUUCUAUCAAAAAACUCUUGGCAAGCAAGCUGAUGGGACUCAAACCCACGACCUCCUGCUAUUCAACCGCUGGAUUCUCCAACUUGAGAAAUUGAAAUGUACGUUUUAAAACUGAUGUCCGUCUUUAAUUUGCGGCUGGAUUUCUUGGUGAAAGCAUCAGGGCUCUGUGCAGGAAGUGACAGGUUGAAGAUGAAAUUUAGUUCCGUCAAGUGGUCAUGGGAUUGUUGGGUGCGGCAGCUUCAUGUACAGGGCUGUAAUGCUUGGACGUCUCUGAAUCAACCUGCUACGAACUCAACUGACUUCCAUUUGUGGCUGGGUGAUCCAAAGUACCAUGGCUGCUCAAUCUGAAGCAGCCUGCCAGACUGAUGUCCCUACCACGAUGCAACAGGAGGCACAGGUACCCACCCCCUCAGCUACAACAGGUGAGUACAUUUAGUAGCU